rnacentral:lncRNA from 1 species
UUAUGAGAGUCAGUUUUGCCAGUACACCUCUGGAUAUAAAGAAAAUCAAAAUAUAAGUGAGCAAAAAUAAGCCCAAAGACAAAAGUGGCAAGGAGGAGAAAAAUGGGGGCUACAGUCUGAAGUUUUAUUUCAACAGGGUUAACAUAAACAUAGUGUUUUAAGCUUAAAAUGAUGGAAAACCCCUACGUAGAUCUUCCAACGUGGACAUUCCAACAGGAAGCUAUAAAGAGAAGUAAAAGUGACAGCACAUUAUCAGUGAAAAAUAAGACUAGGUUUAAAAAGGAUGCUGGAGGGUCAGCUCGAGGCCAGGGAGCCCAAGGAGGGCACCCACCCAGAGGACCCGUGCCCGGGAGCUGGGGCUGCCAUGGAGAAGACACCUGCAGCAGCCGAGGUCCCCAGGGAGGACAGCAAUGCCG